rnacentral:rRNA from 1 species
GUGGGGAAUAUUGGACAAUGGGCGAAAGCCUGAUCCAGCCAUGCCGCGUGUGUGAAGAAGGUCUUCGGAUUGUAAAGCACUUUAAGUUGGGAGGAAGGGCAGUAAGUUAAUACCUUGCUGUUUUGACGUUACCGACAGAAUAAGCACCGGCUAACUUCGUGCCAGCAGCCGCGGUAAUACGAAGGGUACAAGCGUUAAUCGGAAUUACUGGGCGUAAAGCGCGCGUAGGUGGUUUUGUAAGUUGGAGGUGAAAUCCCCGGGCUCAACCUGGGAACUGCCUCCAAAACUGCAUGACUAGAGUACGGUAGAGGGUAGUGGAAUUUCCUGUGUAGCGGUGAAAUGCGUAGAUAUAGGAAGGAACACCAGUGGCGAAGGCGACUACCUGGACUGAUACUGACACUGAGGUGCGAAAGCGUGGGGAGCAAACAGGAUUAGAAACCCUUGUAGUCC